rnacentral:lncRNA from 1 species
GAGGGGGGGGGCCGGACCAGGAUACCGCACGCGCCAGGGACAGGACGCAGGGCGAAAACCUUGUCCAGGACUCGGCCAGAGCCGCGUGAGACCCACAUCCCAGCAAAGCGGAAAGGAGACUAGGACCGGGAGCAGUGCAGGGAUGGUGAUCUUCCGGAGGUCCCGGGGAAAAGGUGCUGUCCUGAAGGCAGGUCCUGAGGAACCAGCAGCACUGGCAGGUCCUUGGCCUGUGUGUGAAGGCGCUAAGGACCCGCGUCCUGGUGAUAUGGGUGUCUCUUCGAUAACCUGGCCCCUUUCCUUUCUCAGGGACUCUCCACGACUGGAAAACUCUCUUUUUCUUAUCUCUAAUACAGCUGCCUUCCUCCCCUUUUUCUGGCUCUGGGGAAAACACCCCUUCUGCAGAGGUUUUCCUAGCUUCACCUGAGAAGGCUCCUGGCUCUUGAAACUUGUGUGUUGGUGUGGGUGAGGGGGUCCUCAUAAGGAUAUUUGCAGCAGUAUAGGAGAUCAGCUGGCCUCUAGGAUCAGUGACCUGCGCUGGAUAAGAGCUCAAUAAAUUUCAGCGACUAUCAUGCA